ACACCGCCCGUCACACCAUGAGAGUUGGGGAUACCCAAAGCCCGUGAGCCAACUUUAGAGGCAGCAGUGAAGGUAGAAUCAAUGGAUUGGGGUGAAGUCGUAACAAGGUAUC
rnacentral:rRNA from 1 species